rnacentral:rRNA from 1 species
GGGGCAGCAUUUCAGUUUGCUUGCAAACUGGAGAUGGCGACCGGCGCACGGGUGAGUAACACGUAUCCAACCUGCCGAUAACUCGGGGAUAGCCUUUCGAAAGAAAGAUUAAUACCCGAUGGUAUAAUCAGACCGCAUGGUCUUGUUAUUAAAGAAUUUCGGUUAUCGAUGGGGAUGCGUUCCAUUAGGCAGUUGGUGAGGUAACGGCUCACCAAACCUUCGAUGGAUAGGGGUUCUGAGAGGAAGGUCCCCCACAUUGGAACUGAGACACGGUCCAAACUCCUACGGGAGGCAGCAGUGAGGAAUAUUGGUCAAUGGGCGCAGGCCUGAACCAGCCAAGUAGCGUGAAGGAUGACUGCCCUAUGGGUUGUAAACUUCUUUUAUAUGGGAAUAAAGUUUUCCACGUGUGGAAUUUUGUAUGUACCAUAUGAAUAAGGAUCGGCUAACUCCGUGCCAGCAGCCGCGGUAAUACGGAGGAUCCGAGCGUUAUCCGGAUUUAUUGGGUUUAAAGGGAGCGUAGGUGGACAGUUAAGUCAGUUGUGAAAGUUUGCGGCUCAACCGUAAAAUUGCAGUUGAUACUGGCUGUCUUGAGUACAGUAGAGGUGGGCGGAAUUCGUGGUGUAGCGGUGAAAUGCUUAGAUAUCACGAAGAACUCCGAUUGCGAA